GACGAACCGUCCAAACGUUAUUCGGAAUCACUGGGCUUAAAGGGUGCGUAGGCGGCCUGGCAAGUCGGGUGUGAAAGCCCUCGGCUCAACCGAGGAAUUGCGCCCGAAACUGCCGGGCUCGAGGAAGGUAGAGGUGAGCGGAACUUAGGGUGGAGCGGUGAAAUGCGUUGAUAUCCUAAGGAACACCAGUAGCGAAAGCGGCUCACUGGGCAAAGACUGACGCUCAGGUGCGAAAGCGUGGGGAGCAAACAGG
rnacentral:rRNA from 1 species